GGGCCUUGGUAGCGCAGCUAACGCGUGAAGUUGACCGCCUGGGGAGUACGGUCGCAAGAUUAAAACUCAAAGGAAUUGACGGGGACCCGCACAAGCGGUGGAUGAUGUGGAUUAAUUCGAUGCAACGCGAAAAACCUUACCUACCCUUGACAUGUCUGGAAUGCCGAAGAGAUUUGGCAGUGCUCGCAAGAGAACCGGAACACAGGUGCUGCAUGGCUGUCGUCAGCUCGUGUCGUGAGAUGUUGGGUUAAGUCCCGCAACGAGCGCAACCCUUGUCAUUAGUUGCUACGAAAGGGCACUCUAAUGAGACUGCCGGUGACAAACCGGAGGAAGGUGGGGAUGACGUCAAGUCCUCAUGGCCCUUAUGGGUAGGGCUUCACACGUCAUACAAUGGUCGGGACAGAGGGUCGCCAACCCGCGAGGGGGAGCCAAUCCCAGAAACCCGAUCGUAGUCCGGAUCGCAGUCUGCAACUCGACUGCGUGAAGUCGGAAUCGCUAGUAAUCGCGGAUCAGCAUGUCGCGGUGAAU
rnacentral:rRNA from 1 species